UAUUAGUGAAUUUGGAUGCAACAAGAACAAGGGUCAAGGGUUACAACAAGAACAAAAAAUGAUGAAUAUAUAAGAAACUUAUUUGUAUGUUUCUGAAAAUUGUUUAAAUUUAAAUUACAGAAAGUUUGUAUUUUUUUUAUUUUAAAAAAAAUGUAAUUAAAUGGGCUAGUGAGCCAACCCGUUUACCCACCAACCCGUGGUGGGUUGAG
rnacentral:lncRNA from 1 species